GCCUGGCUGGCUCAGUCAGUAGAGCAUGAGACUCUUGUUCUUGGGGUUGUGAGUUCAUGCCCGUGUCAGGUG
rnacentral:tRNA from 1 species